GGGUGUUCCGAAGGUAGUGCCUUAUCUCAGUUGAUUGUUCACAGUCAGUUACAGAUCAAACUCCUUGUUCCGCUCCUUCCCCCUUCUCACUACUGCACUUGACCAGUCUUUA
ensembl:misc_RNA Y_RNA Y RNA